rnacentral:rRNA from 1 species
AUUGAACGCUGGCGGCAGGCCUAACACAUGCAAGUCGAGCGAGCGGCGGACGGGGGAGUAAUGUAUGGGGACUGCCCGAUAGAGGGGGAUAACUACUGGAAACGGUAGCUAAUACCGCAUACUAUCGGAUAACCCAUAUGGGAUUAGCUAGUAGGUGAUGUAAUGGCUCACCUAGGCGACGAUCCCUAGCUGGUCUGAGAGGAUGAUCAGCCCAACUGGAACUGAGACACGGCCAGGACUCGUGGGGAGGCAGCAGUGGGGAUUAUUGCACAAUGGGCGAAACCCUGACGCACCCAUGCCGCUUGGAUGAAGACGGCCUCAGGGUUGAAAAGUACGUUCAGUCGGGAGGCGUUACCGAAAGAAGAAGCCCCGGCUAACUCCGUGCCAGCAGCCGCGGUAAUAC